ensembl:lncRNA
CUAUGUAUUUUCCCCCAAAGAAGUUCGGCAAGACAAUUGUGUAGCUCUUAGCGCGCUGCCUCAGCACUCUUCUAGCUGUAAAAUAAAGGCGAGGGAGAUGCAGAGUGGCUCACUCCCAGCAGAUGUGUGCUUGAAAACGAGGUGAUAACAUGCAGAAUGCUGUCAGGGAGGCUCGUGACACGCAGCCUUUCUGACUGUGAAAAUGUACUUAAGGCAGCGUGGCUGUAAGGCAGACUUAAUUAUUUUCAAAAAUACAUCUGACCUGCUUGGUAUAUGUUGAUCGACUGCGUCAAGGAACCAACAAAUUUAUUGUGACUCAUUUUUUAAAAGCAUACAUGAGUCUUCCUAAUUUCUGGAAGAUGAGAAGCACACAAUGAAAUGCAGUUUGUGGAAAAGCAAAUGUGACAUCUGUCUUAAUCUAUUUGUCUCUAUAUCUAGAAUCACAAAGCACAAAUUCCUAACGAUGUUGUGUUACCUGGAAAAUCGCAAAUAUCUACACAUUUCCUAAAGUGUUUUAUCAAUCUGAGGUUUUAUUUUGAUGUAAUUUUGAUUCUAUUUGCAAAGUAACAGGGAAGCAUAAACAUAUAUUGAGAAACUGUUACGGAUAAAUGUGGUUUGGGUCACUUAAAAUAUCAUUAUAGUUUUUUUUAAUUUAAAGAGACAAUCAAGCUAAAUGGACAAUGAAUCAUUAAAUCAUUAAGGGUUAGGUUGGCUUGACUUUAGUGUUAUUGGCCUACUCUGACAAGAAGUUACAGGAGUUUCCGUUGUGGCGCAGCGGAAACGAAUCCAACUGGGAACUGUGAGGUUGCAGGUUUGAUCCCUGGCCUCGCUCAGUGGGUUAAGGACCCAGCAUUGCUGUGAGCUGUGGUGAUGAUCUCAUCUUCAUAUAACCAAUUACAUUUGCAAUAAUCCUACUUCCCAGAAAGUUCACAUUCUGAGGUCCUGGGGCUUAGGACUUCACAUUUGAGUAGGUGAGCAGACAUAAGUUGACCCUUCACGCAGGUCGAGCCCAUUUUGGCCCAGACUCAAUGAACCAGGUGGUCCUGAGAAACGGUAGCCAGGCUCAAAGUCUCCCUGGCCCACCAAUCAGGCUUCCUUAAGUUCGAAACGAACAACUGACCUUGUUUUCAAAAUUCACUGCAACCGCACAGUCUAAGAUUUUCAACUUGACAUCUUGCCGGUACCAUCCUACAGAGUCUGUAAUUGGUGAAUUUUGUUGGUCUUAGGUUAAGAUGUACAGGAAAAAAGGCAACAGGAGUUUGAGCUAGCUGCUCGUAAGAGAACAGAAAUCCAUUUGCUUGCACUGCAUUAUCAAAGGAGGCUUUUUUGAGAUGCCUGAGUAUUCAUGAAGUGAUAAGCAAGAGGCAGAAAAAUCUACAUUACUCUUGAGUUAACCCCUUUUUUAUUUUCGGGUCAAGCCUUAGAUUUAGUGUCACUGACGGUGUAUUCCUGCAUUUUUAUUGACAAAGUCGGGGAAUUCACAUAACUGAAGACUCAAGACCUGGUCUGGAAGAAGCAUUUAGGGAUGGGGCUGUGCUCUGGCCUCAGUGAUAUUUCAGCCUCUGCCCAUGUGCACGUGUGCUGAUGGCACUGGCCUCCCCAUGGCCUGCCUCCGGCACCAGAGUCAUGAGAGGUACCUAGCAAUGGCAACUUUUGAAUCUUUCAUGAAAUGAUUCUCCUUUUAGUGAAAGUAGAGGUUUACAACAAUGAGCAGAAUGUGAAAAAUGCUACUUCUGCAUCUGAGCACAUUUGCUCACUCAAUAAACAUGCCACCGAGAAAUAAGGGUUGUAAUUUCAAAGCAGUUUCGUAUACCCAUCAGACGGCAGCUCCGUUAUGUUUCUGUAGUUCCAGCAAAUGAGACUUUGAAAAAUCAUCUCUUAAAAUACAUUUUCAUGUCACACUGGAGUAUUUAAAUUAACAAAGACUCGACAGUGACCAUCCCUCACAGUAAAAGCGAUCCUUUGAUUCAGCAAAACUGCAAUAUUCAUAGGUACCCAGGAUAAUCUCCUUCUGUCAAGCGCAGCUGACGAGCAAGCUCACUCGCUCUUGCCAUGCCACGUAAAACAGUCACAGGCCCUGGGGACCAGGAUAGGACCUCUGGCCGACACGACACUGUCUAGCACAUAUGCUAAUAGACAUGCGAUAAACAACUCGCUUUAUAGCACCAGGUAUUUUGUUUUACACACGGAGAAGCACUGUCUCGAGGAGGGUUCCACUAACCUCAUCAGAUUGCCCAAGAGCUCCAUGGCACUCAACAGGUUAACAGCCCCUGAUUCCAGACGGUGAGGCUGCCAACUACUUCGGCUACUACUACUAACUACUGUUACUAACAGUUACUAACUGUUACUGUCACUAACUACUGCCACCGAGCUUCCUUGAAUGAAGCCUCAAGCACAGAGGCACUGGCAUCUCUUUAAUUCUUUAUUUCCCAACCACCUUCCCCAACAAGAGGACCUACGAGGUUAUUUUUACAGAUGUGGAAACUACGGCCUGGAGAGUGACGUGCCAAAGGUCAGAGAUGAAUCGCAGAGCUGAAUGCGAAGAGCACCCCACUGCCCCCUGACCUGGGAGGACCCCCCUGCUUCAGGGCAUUUUACACCGUAAUGUGUCCACCUACUGCCUGAUGGGCUCAGACUAAGAAAAAAUUAGUCUUACUGUGUUCACAAUGUUUUUCCCUCUUAUGAAUCUAAUUUGUCUCAUCAGAGUCCAAAACAUUUUUGAAAAAUAAACUUCAGUGACCUCUGUCGCCAGCUUCCUCGCAUCCUCCAGGACCUCACUAAUGGGCAUUUAUGGCAAAGCGGCAUGCUUCUCUUGCUGCAGCCAGGGUAAGCCAGCCAGCAGGUGCCAACACUCUCCAGUAGCUGUCGGAUACCGACUACGAAGCACACCUGCUGCUUUUUCCGUCUGUUACCUUCCCCAGGAAGCUACAGGAACUCACUGAAACGAAAGCACACUGAAGCGCUGUACUCUGAAUCUUUAGGUCUCUUUAAUUGAACUGUUAAUCAGGAUUCUAUUGCCUCCAGCUGUUUCGGGUCACAAAGACAGAUCUAGUUCUGCUUCUUUGGUGUGUAAAAUCGGGAGAGCAUCUACACUCUGCAACGGAGCCCUCUCGGACACACACACGCGCACAGCUCCGAACUGAAGGGGGCGGGUGCGCUACCGAGGACUGCUUAUCACUGCGUGUUAGUGCAGGCUGUCUCUGCUACUGGGCCUCUGACUAGGGGCACUUCUCUCCUAAGCUUUCGAAGGGAAGGUGCUGCUGUUGCAUAUCUUGUAGAAGCUCCAGCGUUUCUCCUCAGCAGCUCUUCGCCGUGUCUGGUGGGAGCAACCACAGGACACAGACAUCUCGCCCUCACUCCUGUCCCGUCAGCCUUAGAAGCUCGGGUGACCCAGGCCUGGAAGAGGAAGAGAGGAGAGGAAGGGGCGGAGGGAGCGAAUAGGAAAGAGGCACGGCUCAUCACCCAGUGCCUCCAGGGUCGGAGGCGGACUCCUAGGCCAGGUGAACACCAGGACUUGGGUCAUGACCAAGGCCAUGGCCACGAGGAUGCAGCGCUGGACGGAAGCCUCCAGCCCUGCCUCCUUCUUCUCGGCUUCAUGGCUCCCCUCCGAUUCC